rnacentral:rRNA from 1 species
UACGGGGGGGGCAAGCGUUGUUCGGAAUUACUGGGCGUAAAGGGCUCGUAGGCGGCCAACUAAGUCGGACGUGAAAUCCCCAGGCUCAACCUGGGAACUGCGUCCGAUACUGGAUGGCUUGAAUUCGGGAGAGGGAUGCAGAAUUCCAGGUGUAGCGGUGAAAUGCGUAGAUAUCUGGAGGAACACCGGUGGCGAAGGCGGCAUCCUGGACCAAUAUUGACGCUGAGGAGCGAAAGCUAGGGGAGCAAACGGG